CGCUGGCGGCGUGCUUAACACAUGCAAGUCGAACGAUGAAAGCGGGAGCUUGCUCCUGCUGGAUUAGUGGCGAACGGGUGAGUAACACGUGAGCAAUCUGCCCCGAACUCUGGGAUAAGCGUUGGAAACGACGUCUAAUACCGGAUACGACGCGCGAAGGCAUCUUCUGCGCGUGGAAAGAAUUUCGGUUCGGGAUGAGCUCGCGGCCUAUCAGCUAGUUGGUGAGGUAAUGGCUCACCAAGGCGACGACGGGUAGCCGGCCUGAGAGGGGUGACCGGCCACACUGGGACUGAGACACGGCCCAGACUCCUACGGGAGGCAGCAGUGGGGAAUAUUGCACAAUGGGCGCAAGCCUGAUGCAGCAACGCCGCGCGAGGGACGACGGCCUUCGGGUUGUAAACCUCUUUUAGUAGGGAAGAAGCGAAAGUGACGGUACCUGCAGAAAAAGCACCGGCUAACUACGUG
rnacentral:rRNA from 1 species